rnacentral:rRNA from 1 species
AUGGUCCUAGCACUACUGUCACACAUGGUGUUCGGGCCACUUCCACCAGUGCUCUGCGGGUUGUCGUUCCGCGAGAGCAAUGACGGGGAGAACAAGAUGAUGCGGUGCUUUGCUCGCCUGCAUUGCGCUGCUUGCGCUCGGGACGUGCAUGUCUACAGAAGAGCCAUGACAUACUUCAAGACUCUAAUUUACUACCUGACCAUCGCCGCGAGCUUGUCCGGGAUAUCGUACGUUGCCGAUGUGCUGAUCACGAGGCUUCUCAAACACUUUGGCACCAUCGAUCUAGGUGGUGCAUUGGCUCCUCAUGCUUCUCUAGGCCUGUUAUUCUCUCAUUUAGGUCAUGCACAUACGUCUGCCUAG